GAAGAGGAGGAGUGUUCUGACCGCUGUCUGGAUGGAUGUCAGGCCCCGUGCACCAAGAACCAAUUGCCCCAGGCCCCUGUGGCUGCCAGAGAGAAGGAAAGUCUCGCAGCAAGACAUUCAAUCAACAAUCAGCUUGAGGACAAUCAAGUAUUUUUUUGAGGCCCUUGUGGGUGCUAGAUACUAUGCUAGGCUGACCCAGGAACCUGCCAGAACAGUGCCUGUUGUUGGGAGAUUACAGUCAGGGGCUUCAGCAAGUCAAAGGGCAGUUCCAGGGAGAGGAGAGACAAAGCGAGGCUGCAGAGAGAUGAAAAGACUUGCCCAGAGUCACACAGCAGCCAGUGGAGGAGCCAGACUUGAACCCUCGGCCCGUGUUGCACGCAAUGCGGUGCUGGUGAAGAGUGUGGACUGAGAUGUGGACACACCUCGGUUCGGAGUUCCAGCUCUGCCAUUUCCUGGUGAUGUGAUCUUGGACAAGCAUCUUAACCUCACCGAGCCUCAGUUUUCUCAUCUGUGAAGUGGGGAUAAUUUUCUUAGGGUUAUUGUGACAUUGCAAUGAUGUAGUACAAGUAAAAAAAUGUUUAGCACAGUGUUUGACAAAAGGU